rnacentral:rRNA from 1 species
GACGAACGCUGGCGGCGUGCUUAACACAUGCAAGUCGAGCGGUAAGGCCCUUUCGGGGGUACACGAGCGGCGAACGGGUGAGUAACACGUGGGUGACCUGCCCUCAGCUCUGGGAUAAGCCUGGGAAACCGGGUCUAAUACUGGAUAUGACUCCAUGACGCAUGUUGUGGGGUGGAAAGCCUUGUGCGGCUGAGGAUGGGCCCGCCGGCCUAUCAGCUUGUCGGUGGGGU